AUGAUUAUAAAUAUAUUUCCCUAUCUUAGAAAAUUUGCACUUGUGCAUGUCUAAUUAUAAUGAGUCUUAUGAUGUAUCAUCAAGCUUCCUAAUUGUGUAAAAGGUAUCAAGGAGAAACCAUAAUGGAAUGUUUUAAUCUUCUCAUGAAGAGUUUCAAUAUGUUUUUUUCAAAUUUCCCAAGAAUGUGAAAGAACUAGAGCAGAACUAGAUCUUCUCAUGUACACUUUUAAUAUUCAUCUUUAAGGUUCCAGAGUUUUUUCAAAAAGAACUAUAGCAGUCGCAAAAUUGGAAUUAUUUAUUGUAAAAUGAACACCUUCAAUAUGCUGCCCAAGUUAUCCAGAGCGUGUAAUAGAACUGGAGCACUAACUAAAUUAGAAUUUUUUAACCUUCUCCUUGACACAUUCAAUAUCCAUCUCCAAGUCUUCAAAGUGUAUUGAAUAAGUAAAACACUUUUGAAUUUUACAAUAACAACACUUUUCUAAUAACAAGGGACUUCUAAAGAGGAACACAGAGCUAGACUAAAAAAGAGUCCGGUGCACUCAGACUGUUAGUAGGGAUAUAAAUUGACAAAGGUAAGAAUUACUCUGAUGCUUAUCCUCAAUUUUGUUCUGAAUCAAUAACUCUUCAACAAAUCCUUUGUAUUACUUUCCGUCUUUUUUUUUGUCUGCAAGUAAAUGUCUAAUCUGGUUUUGAUUAUAUCAAUAAUAGAAAAUUCGCUCUCCUGGUUGCGUGAACUAAAUAUAUAUACAAAAUGCUUACGAUUACUAUUUGUAAGUCAAUUACUAAUUAGCAUCAUUGACCAGGACUAUGAAAUUAUCCGUAUAAAAUAAAGCCUUAAAUCAUAUAAUAUUUAGCGCCAAGUUUUUAUUGAUGAAGCUGCUAUGUGUGUUGUGACAGUCCUUAUAUAUUCGGUCCAGUCAAAUCUUAGGACUUGUACUUUAGGUCUUUCGAAAAAGUAGAAAUAAAGAUCAUAGACCGAAAUUUUCAAGUUUUAGGACUGAUAUGACGUGACCGAGGAUGCAAUCUUGAGCCUAAAUAUGGACUGACACAACUGUAGGUGUUAUUGUUGUUAUCGUCUCGAAAAGACUUGAGCUGUUGUUGGGAUAUGUAUCAAAGCAAGAGAGAAUAAGAAAUUACACGAAACCUUAUACAACAAACUACUUCAUCGGGUGAAGGAGGAAGAAAUAAAAUGAUUGAAAACAGUUUUUGUGAUACACUUUAGUCAUCAAAUUAAUUACUUAUAAGACAAUAAGGAUGAUUUGGAUGGAUCUUUUUCAUGAAACAUCCUAAUAUAUGGAUCUUAGUCAGCUCAUAGUUCCAUUUAACUCCUAUAUGUUUAUGUCCUUGGUAUAUCCAUCAUGUUCAGAGAUCUCAUCUCUUUAGAAAAGGUCCUUGAGCCUUACUCGAUGGAUCGUCAUCUCAUUUAAUGGAAGUAUCAGUCAUUUUGCAGAUGUUCUUUAACGUCAAAAUCUGUUACUUCAUCAUCCAUUGAUUCAAAUAAACAUUCGUCCCUCUAGAGAGGAGUAAUAUUGGAAUUAAAUGUAAUGUGAGGAACAAAGAGACUUAUAAUCCUUCAUCGGCAUCUCUUCAUUUCGUCUCCUAAUAUUCUUAGAAAACUCUUCCAUUCAUUUGAAUCAUUAAAUGCCAUAAAUGUACAUAACAAACUAACGACUCAUAUCUAUGAUACUGAGUCUAUUUAUAAGGCUGUAUUAUUUCUGUAAUUCUAACACUUUAUCCUCCCUUACGAUUCCAUUAUUACUUGCGAAUAUAUCCUAUCAUUGGAAG
rnacentral:lncRNA from 1 species